rnacentral:tRNA from 1 species
GGGGCUAUAGCUAAGUGGUAGAGCACUUGCCUGGAAUGCGUGAGGCACUGGGUUUGAUUCUCAGUACCA